rnacentral:rRNA from 1 species
CGUACCCUACGGGGCGCAGCAGUGAGGAAUAUUGGUCAAUGGCCGAGAGGCUGAACCAGCCAAGUCGCGUGAGGGAAGACGGUCCUAUGGAUUGUAAACCUCUUUUGUCGGGGAGCAAAGAGACCACGUGUGGUCAAAAGCGAGAGUACCCGAAGAAAAAGCAUCGGCUAACUCCGUGCCAGCAGCCGCGGUAAUACGGAGGAUGCGAGCGUUAUCCGGAUUUAUUGGGUUUAAAGGGUGCGUAGGCGGGACGGUAAGUCAGCGGUAAAAAUGCGGAGCUCAACUCCGUCGAGCCGUUGAAACUG